rnacentral:rRNA from 1 species
UACGUAGGGUGCGAGCGUUAAUCGGAAUUACUGGGCGUAAAGCGUGCGCAGGCGGUUAUGUAAGACAGGUGUGAAAUCCCCGGGCUUAACCUGGGAAUGGCGCUUGUGACUGCAUGACUGGAGUGCGGCAGAGGGGGGUGGAAUUCCACGUGUAGCAGUGAAAUGCGUAGAGAUGUGGAGGAACACCGAUGGCGAAGGCAGCCCCCUGGGUCGACACUGACGCUCAUGCACGAAAGCGUGGGGAGCAAAC